rnacentral:rRNA from 1 species
UGGGGAAUCUUGCGCAAUGCGCGAAAGCGUGACGCAGCAACGCCGCGUGGGGGAAGACGGCCUUCGGGUUGUAAACCCCUUUCAGGAGGGACGAAGGGUAGGCGGUGAAUAGCCGUUCUAUUUGACGGUACCUCCACAAGAAGCCCCGGCUAACUACGUGCCAGCAGCCGCGGUAAUACGUAGGGGGCAAGCGUUGUCCGGAAUCAUUGGGCGUAAAGAGCGCGUAGGCGGUCCGGUAAGUCGGUUGUGAAAACUGGGGGCUCAACCCUCAGAGGCCGACCGAUACUGCUGGGCUAGAGUCCGGAAGAGGCGAGUGGAAUUCCUGGUGUAGCGGUGAAAUGCGCAGAUAUCAGGAGGAACACCAAUGGCGAAGGCAGCUCGCUGGGACGGUACUGACGCUGAGGCGCGAAAGCGUGGGGAGCAAACAG